GUGCUCAAUUUGGCAGCAUAUAUACUAAAAUUAAAGUAAUACAGAGAAGAUUAGCAUGGCCCCUGGGUAAGUAUGACAGAUUUGUGAAGUGUUCCAUAAUAAA